AAAAAAAAAAAGUGGGGUGGGGAGAUGCUUUAUUAACCACUCAUCCAGAGAUGAUGGUGAACUCAAGGUAAAACAAGCAGGUCUUUUAAAAUAUCUAUCAGGUGAACGCAAUUGAUAUCUUUAUUUCAUAACUAACAGCUAUAAAACUAAAAAGAUUAAGAUUACAGUUUCUCUUUCUGUGAUAAAUACAUAGACCAAAAGUCUACUCAACAUUUGAAUGCACACAAGGACACUUAUACAACUAUCCUUCUCUGUUGUAUGUGUGCUUUUACCUUGACAAACCAAAAAAAGUGUGAAAUCCUACUGA
rnacentral:misc_RNA from 1 species